rnacentral:tRNA from 2 species
GCCCCGGUAGCUCAGGUGGAAGAGCGACUGCCUCGUAAGCAGUAGGUCGUGGGUUCAAAUCCCACCCGGGGCU